GGAGGGGGCAAGCGUUGUUCGGAAUUACUGGGCGUAAAGGGCGCGUAGGCGGUAUGCCAUGUCAGGGGUGAAAGGCCUGGGCUCAACCCAGGAACUGCCUUUGAAACUGGCAAACUAGAGUCCGAUAGAGGAUGGCGGAAUUCCCAGUGUAGAGGUGAAAUUCGUAGAUAUUGGGAAGAACACCAGUGGCGAAGGCGGCCAUCUGGAUCGGCACUGACGCUGAGGCGCGAAAGCGUGGGGAGCAAACAGGGAUUAGAUACCCUGGUAGUCCACGCCGUAAACGAUGUGUGCUAGACGUUGGGGGGUCUUAGGCCCCUGGGUGUCGUAGCUAACGCGUUAAGCACACCGCCUGGGGGAGUACGGCCGCAAGGUUA
rnacentral:rRNA from 1 species